rnacentral:ncRNA from 1 species
CCCUGAUCGGCGUACACCGAUCCCGGACGAGGCAGGCCAGUACCCGGUGAGCGAAAAGACUGGUCCGA